GACGUAGGGUCCAAGCGUUGUCCGGAUUUACUGGGCGUAAAGAGCGCGUAGGCGGCUCGUUAAGUGUGAAGUGAAAUCUCUAGGGCUCAACCCAGAAACUGCUUUACAUACUGGCGAGCUGGAGUGAUGAAGAGGUCUGUGGAAUUCCUGGUGUAGCGGUGAAAUGCGUAGAUAUGCGGAGGAACACCGAUGGCGAAGGCAAUCCCCUGGACCUGUACUGACGCUCAUGCACGAAAGCGUGGGGAGCAAACAGG
rnacentral:rRNA from 1 species